rnacentral:rRNA from 1 species
GAGUUUGAUCAUGGCUCAGAACGAACGCUGGCGGCGUGCUUAACACAUGCAAGUCGAACGCGAACGGGACUUCGGUUCCAAGUAGAGUGGCGCACGGGUGAGUAACGCGUAGAUAACCUGUCUUUAUGUCUGGAAUAACACGCCGAAAGGGGUACUAAUACCGGAUAUGUUUGCAUUUCACAGGUAAGGCAAGCAAAGGUGGCCUCUGGAACAAGCUACUGCAUAGAGAGGGGUCUGCGUACCAUUAGCUAGUAGGUGGGGUAAUGGCCUACCUAGGCGACGAUGGUUAGCGGGUCUGAGAGGAUGAUCCGCCACACUGGCACUGGAAUACGGGCCAGACUCCUACGGGAGGCAGCAGUGAGGAAUAUUGCGCAAUGGGGGGAACCCUGACGCAGCGACGCCGCGUGAGUGAGGAAGGCCUUCGGGUCGUAAAGCUCUGUCAAGAGGGAAGAAGUGUACGCUGGCCAAUACCCGGCGUAUUUGACG